AUUGAACGCUGGCGGCAGGCCUAAUACAUGCAAGUCGAACGCGUGGCGGACGGGUGUGAAAUGUCUGGGAAACUGCUUGAUGGAGGGGGUUAACUACUGGAAACGGUAGCUAAUCCCGCAUACCAUCGGAUGUGCCCUGAUGGGAUUAGCUAGUAGGUAGGUGAAAGGCUUACCAAGGACACGAUCCCUAGCUGAUCUGAGAGGGUGACCGGCCACACUGGAACUGAGACACGGUCCAGACUCCUACGGGAGGCAGCAGUAGGGAAUAUUGCACAAUGGGCGCAAGCCUGAUGCAGCCAGGCCGCGUGUGUGAUGAAGGCCUUCGGAUUGUAAAAUACUUUCAGCAGGGAGGCGUUACCCACAGAGGAAGCACCGGCUAACUCCGUGCCAGCAGCCGCGGUAAUAC
rnacentral:rRNA from 1 species